AGAAUCAACGCUGGCGGCGUGCCUAACACAUGCAAGUCGAACGAGAAAGUGGAGCAAUCCAUGAGUAAAGUGGCGCACGGGUGAGUAACACGUGGCUAACCUACCCUUGAGUGGGGAAUAACCUAGGGAAACCUGGGCUAAUACCGCAUAACACCUACGGGUCAAAGGAGCAAUUCGCUUAAGGAGGGGUCGCGGCAGAUUAGCUAGUUGGCGGGGUAAUGGCCCACCAAGGCAGUGAUCUGUA
rnacentral:rRNA from 1 species